GAUGAAUGCUAGCGGUGCGUUUAAUACAUGCAAGUCGAACGCGAUCUUCGGAUCGAGUGGCGAACGAGCGAGUAACACGUAAGAAUCUGCCCCGUACUCAGGGAUAACUCGGCGAAAGUCGGGCUAAUACCGGAUGGUCUCCUUUGGGAGUAAAGAUUUAUCGGUACGGGAGGAGCUUGCGGCCUAUCAGCUUGUUGGUAAGGUAAAGGCUUACCAAGGCAAUGACGGGUAGCUGGUGUGAGAGCAUGACCAGCCGCGAUGGGACUGAGACACGGCCCAUACUCCUACGGGAGGCAGCAGUAGAGAAUCUUCCGCAAUGGGCGAAAGCCUGACGGAGCGACACCGCGUG
rnacentral:rRNA from 1 species